GAGCGGUAGCACAGAGAGCUUGCUCUCGGGUGACGAGCGGCGGACGGGUGAGUAAUGUCUGGGAAACUGCCUGAUGGAGGGGGAUAACUACUGGAAACGGUAGCUAAUACCGCAUAAUGUCGCAAGACCAAAGUGGGGGACCUUCGGGCCUCAUGCCAUCAGAUGUGCCCAGAUGGGAUUAGCUAGUAGGUGGGGUAACGGCUCACCUAGGCGACGAUCCCUAGCUGGUCUGAGAGGAUGACCAGCCACACUGGAACUGAGACACGGUCCAGACUCCUACGGGAGGCAGCAGUGGGGAAUAUUGCACAAUGGGCGCAAGCCUGAUGCAGCCAUGCCGCGUGUGUGAAGAAGGCCUUCGGGUUGUAAAGCACUUUCAGCGGGGAGGAAGGCGUUGAGGUUAAUAACCUUGGCGAUUGACGUUACCCGCAGAAGAAGCACCGGCUAACUCCGUGCCAGCAGCCGCGGUAAUACGGAGGGUGCAAGCGUUAAUCGGAAUUACUGGGCGUAAAGCGCACGCAGGCGGUCUGUCAAGUCGGAUGUGAAAUCCCCGGGCUCAACCUGGGAACUGCAUUCGAAACUGGCAGGCUAGAGUCUUGUAGA
rnacentral:rRNA from 1 species